UCCUCUCUCUACUUCCACGCCAAUGCAAGAGAGGGGAUGGGCCCCUCUCCCUUCCUCAUGCCAAUCCAAGGUUGGCACCUCUUGGUCUUUCCAAAAGAGAUACAUGGUGCCAUCUCUUCUUUCCUAUAAUUCCACACACAAUAUCAGAAAACAAAUGAGGAGAUAAUGAUGAGAUAACUUAGCCAACUCAUUGACUUAAUGCAAUUCUCUUGGGCUCAUAAUUAGGCACCUAGCUAAAUCCUAAUGGAUUUAGGUUAGGU
rnacentral:lncRNA from 1 species